UACGAAGGGUGCUAGCGUUGUUCGGAAUUACUGGGCGUAAAGGGCGCGUAGGCGGUUUAACAAGUUGGGUGUGAAAGCCCAGGGCUCAACCCUGGAACGGCACCCAAGACUGUUUUACUUGAAUUCGGUAGAGGAUGGUAGAAUUCCCAGUGUAGAGGUGAAAUUCGUAGAGAUUGGGAAGAAUACCCGUGGCGAAGGCGGCCAUCUGGACCGACAUUGACGCUGAGGCGCGAAAGCGUGGGGAGCAAACAGG
rnacentral:rRNA from 1 species